rnacentral:rRNA from 1 species
ACUCCUACGGGAGGCAGCAGUAGGGAAUCUUCCACAAUGGGCGCAAGCCUGAUGGAGCAACACCGCGUGAGUGAAGAAGGGUUUCGGCUCGUAAAGCUCUGUUGUUAAAGAAGAACACGUAUGAGAGUAACUGUUCAUACGUUGACGGUAUUUAACCAGAAAGUCACGGCUAACUACGUGCCAGCAGCCGCGGUAAUACGUAGGUGGCAAGCGUUAUCCGGAUUUAUUGGGCGUAAAGAGAGUGCAGGCGGUUUUCUAAGUCUGAUGUGAAAGCCUUCGGCUUAGCCGGAGAAGUGCAUCGGAAACUGGAUAACUUGAGUGCAGAAGAGGGUAGUGGAACUCCAUGUGUAGCGGUGGAAUGCGUAGAUAUAUGGAAGAACACCAGUGGCGAAGGCGGCUACCUGGUCUGCAACUGACGCUGAGACUCGAAAGCAUGGGUAGCGAACAGGAUUAGA